UAGAACUUGAGCAAUGCCAUUUUGUACAAGACAAAGCUGUUUUCCAAAAAUAAGUUGUAACGACUGCCCCAUUCUCCUCACAAUAACUGCUGACCUUGGCUUCUGUAAAAAGUGCUUGCCUUUGCUUAUCAGAAAGUGCUGAAAAGUUGCUUGCCCUGCAUCCCCUCACCCUCUUGGUCCUAAAUCCAGGAUGUGGUUUUUCAGCUU